UACGUAGGGGGCUAGCGUUGUCCGGAAUCAUUGGGCGUAAAGAGCGUGUAGGCGGCCCGGUAAGUCCGCUGUAAAAGUCCAGGGCUCAACCCUGGAAAGCCGGUGGAUACUGUCGGGCUAGAGUCCGGAAGAGGCGAGUGGAAUCCUGGUGUAGCGGUGGAAUGCGCAGAUAUCAGGAGGAACACCGAUAGCGAAGGCAGCUCGCUGGGACGGUACUGACGCUGAGGUGCGAAAGCGUGGGGAGCGAACAGG
rnacentral:rRNA from 1 species